AUGCAUUCUAGUUCUGGAAGAAAGUAUGAUUCUGGUGCCUUCAAGCGUAAGAAGAAACGGAAAUUAGAAAAAGAUGCUGAAAUUCAAAGGGGUGCUCUUGAUAAAUAUGCUGUGAUAGUACCCCGAAAAAAUUCUGAAAAUCAUACUCCAGAUGUAGAGGUUGAGGUUGUCACUGCAGAAAUUCAUGAAGGUGAUCAUGGUCUUGCUGAUAAUGCGCAAGAGGUUGAGGUUGCCGCUACAGAAAUUGAUGAAGGUAAUGAUGUCAAUAUUUUAGAUGAAGAUCAUGAUCCUAAUAUUUUGGAUGACAUGAAUAAUUCCGUUCAGCCUGAUAUAUUUAAUCCUAGAAAUUGGGAUGGACUUGAUCCAAAAAAGAUUGAUAUCUUGCUGCAAAAGGGUCCUAAAAGAGAAGAUAUUGAGUAUGGUCCUUAUGACAAGUUCUCUAGAAGGUUUUCUGCAUUAUCAUUUAGUAGAAUUCUCCCAAAUGGAGAAAAGUUUGACAGAGAGUGGCUUGUGUACAACAGCGGCCUCGAUAAAGCAUUUUGUUUUUGUUGCAAAUUAUUAAAAAGGGGGCAUGUGAGAGGACAACUAGCAAAUGAGGGUUUAAGUGACUGGAUUCAUCUUGGGGCUAGACUAAAAGAGCAUGAAUCAAGUAGAGAGCAUAUCACAAAUAUGACUGCAUGGUAUGACUUCCGUCUCAGGAUGCAGAAGAAUCAAACAAUUGAUAAAGUUGCUCAGCGAGAACUUGAAAAGGAAAAGGAGCAUUGGAGAAAAGUUUUGCUCAGGAUUUUGUUGAUUGUAAAAUUUCUUGCAGAACAUAAUAUAGCAUUUUGUGGCAGCAAUAGCAAGUUGUACCAAGAGAGCAACGGGAAUUUCCUAGGACUGAUUGAAAUGUUGGCUGAAUUUGACCCAGUUAUCAAAGAGCAUGUUGACCGCAUCACCAAUGAAAAAAUUCGUGAUCACUACCUUGGACCUUCUAUACAGAAUGAGUCAAUAAACAUGCUCGCUACUGCCAUCAGGUCAAGAAUCAUUGAAAAGGUAAAGGAAGCAAAAUAUUUCUCAGUUAUUCUUGAUUGUACUCCUGAUGCAAGCCACCAAGAACAAAUGUCUUUGAUAAUUAGGUAUGUAGAUACAUCUUCUACUUCUGUUUGCAUCGAAGAAUCUUUCUUAGGCUUUUUGGAGGUGAAUGAUACCACUGGGCAAGGUUUGUUUAAUGUUCUAGAAGACGAGUUGAAUAAUCUUAGCCUUGAUGUGGACAAUGUGAGAGGACAGGGUUAUGAUAAUGGGUCAAAUAUGAAAGGAAACAAUAAAGGGGUACAAAAGAAAUUUCUACACAAAUAUCCAAGGGCAUUUUAUUCAGCUUGUGGUUGUCAUAGUCUAAAUCUGGCACUAUGCGAUAUGGCGAAGUCUUGCCGUAAAGCAACAGACUUCUUUGGAAUUAUACAACGCAUCUAUACAAUAUUUGCUAAUUCAACUAAACGAUGGCAAAUUCUCAAAGAUAACUUAAAGAAGUUGACUGUCAAGUCAUUGUUAUCUACUCGUUGGGAGAGUCAUGUUGAGAGUGUUAAGGCUAUACGGAUUCAAAUACCAGAAAUAAGGGAGGCUUUACUACCAGUGGCUGAAACUGAUAAGGAUCCAUUGACAAGUAGUGAAGCACAAUCAUUGGCAGAAAGUGAACUUGGUGGUUCUGAAUUUUUAGUGUCAAUAAUUAUCUGGUAUGAUAUAUUAUCCGUUGUUAAUUUGGUCAGCAAGCAGCUACAAUCAAAGGACAUGCUUAUUGAUAUUGCAAUUGAGUCUAUACAGGGUCUGCUUUCCUUUUUCAAGAAGUAUAGAGAAAGUGGCUUUUCAAAAGCAUUGGAAGAUGCAAAAUAA
rnacentral:rRNA from 1 species